UACGGAGGGUGCAAGCGUUAUCCGGAUUCACUGGGUUUAAAGGGUGUGUAGGCGGGUAUUUAAGUCAGUGGUGAAAUCUCCAGGCUCAACCUGGAAACUGCCAUUGAUACUAUUUACCUUGAAUUCUGUUGAGGUGGGCGGAAUACAUCAUGUAGCGGUGAAAUGCUUAGAUAUGAUGUAGAACACCAAUUGCGAAGGCAGCUCACUAAGCAGACAUUGACGCUGAGGCACGAAAGCGUGGGGAUCAAACAGG
rnacentral:rRNA from 1 species